CUAUGACCUCGGAUACAUUUGGGCCUCAAACCCAUCCCGCUAGAGGUGGGAUCUGGAAUGUGCCCCAGGCGCAUAUGUGAAAGCUUGGGGCUCCGCUGAGGACUACUGCGAGGCGAGGGAGACUUUAGCGAGGGUUACGACUACACACGAAGUCAUAGGUAGUGGGCGGGGCGCCAGUGGGGUACUGGCCCUUCCCCUGUCUAUCUCUGGCUUGCCGGCUGCUGAAAGGUGAACAGCUUUUCUACCAUCCCACUUGCCACAGACUCCAAGUCAAGGGGACCAACUGCUCAUGGCUUGGACCCCCAAAAUGAGUCAAGUAACCAGAGAGAAGGAAGCAACCGAAGUUUGCUGUCGCAACUUACUUAUGGAAGAGAAGACCAUGUAUAUGUGUUUAUGAAGAUUCCAUACUGCUCCUUUCAUUGUUCUACUGCCAGGUGGAGGAACAGGUGGAAGAAGACAGUGAUGGGUCCUUCUGCUCUGGAUGAAAUAAAUGUGGUUCUCCAGUAACCAUGGUUA